rnacentral:rRNA from 1 species
UACGGAGGGGGCUAGCGUUGUUCGGAAUUACUGGGCGUAAAGCGCGCGUAGGCGGACCUGCAAGUCGGGGGUGAAAGCCCGAGGCUCAACCUCGGAACUGCCUUCGAUACUGCGGGUCUCGAGUCCGGGAGAGGUGAGUGGAAUUCCUAGUGUAGAGGUGAAAUUCGUAGAUAUUAGGAAGAACACCAGUGGCGAAGGCGGCUCACUGGACCGGAACUGACGCUGAGGCGCGAAAGCGUGGGGAGCAAACAGG